UGACACAGGGAGGUAGUGACAAGAAAUAACAAUACAGGGCUCUUCGAGUCUUGUAAUUGGAAUGAGUACAAUUUACAUCUCUUCACGAGGAUCAAUUGGAGGGCAAGUCUGGUGCCAGCAGCCGCGGUAAUUCCAGCUCCAAUAGCGUAUAUUAAAGUUGUUGCAGUUAAAACGCUCGUAGUCGAAUUUCGGGGCGGGCCCGCCGGUCUGCCGAUGGGUACGCACUGGCGGGCGCGUCCUUCCUCCCGGAGACGGCCGCUACUCUUAACUGAGCGGUGGUCGGAGACGGGAUGUUUACUUUGAAAAAAUCAGAGUGUUUCAAGCAGGCAGUCGCUCUUGCAUGGAUUAGCAUGGGAUAAUGAAAUAGGACUCUGGUGCUAUUUUGUUGGUUUCGAGCACCGGAGUAAUGAUUAACAGGGACAGUCAGGGGCACUCGUAUUCCGCCGAGAGAGGUGAAAUUCUCAGACCAGCGGAAGACGAACGACUGCGAAAGCAUUUGCCAGGGAUGUUUUCACUGAUCAAGAACGAAAGUUAGGGGAUCAAAGACGAUCAGAUACCGUCGUAGUCUUAACCAUAAACCAUGCCGACUAGGGAUUGGAGGAUGUUCCGUUUGUGACUCCUUCAGCACCUUUCGGGAAACUAAAGUCUUUGGGUUCCGGGGGGAGUAUGGUCGCAAGGCUGAAACUUAAAGGAAUUGACGGAAGGGCACCACCAGGAGUGGAGCCUG
rnacentral:rRNA from 1 species